rnacentral:rRNA from 1 species
UACGUAGGGUGCGAGCGUUGUCCGGAAUUACUGGGCGUAAAGAGCUCGUAGGUGGUUUGUCGCGUUGUUCGUGAAAACUCACAACUCAAUUGUGGGCGUGCGGGCGAUACGGGCAGACUGGAGUACUGCAGGGGAGACUGGAAGUUCCUGGUGUAGCGGUGGAAUGCGCAGAUAUCAGGAGGAACACCGGUGGCGAAGGCGGGUCUCUGGGCAGUAACUGACGCUGAGGAGCGAAAGCGUGGGGAGCGAACAGG